rfam:Schistosoma mattheei strain Denwood, Zambia genome assembly, scaffold: SMTD_scaffold0002072
AGCUUUCCGAAUCCGUGCUGAGAUUUCGUCAGACACCAACCCAUUAGGGCUGAUUAGAAUUCCAAGAAAAGUGUAGUU